rnacentral:rRNA from 1 species
GACGAACGCUGGCGGCGUGCUUAACACAUGCAAGUCGAACGGAAAGGCCCUGCUUUUGUGGGGUGCUCGAGUGGCGAACGGGUGAGUAACACGUGAGUAACCUGCCCUUGACUUUGGGAUAACUUCAGGAAACUGGGGCUAAUACCGGAUAGGAGCUCCUGCUGCAUGGUGGGGGUUGGAAAGUUUCGGCGGUUGGGGAUGGACUCGCGGCUUAUCAGCUUGUUGGUGGGGUAGUGGCUUACCAAGGCUUUGACGGGUAGCCGGCCUGAGAGGGUGACCGGCCACAUUGGGACUGAGAUACGGCCCAGACUCCUACGGGAGGCAGCAGUGGGGAAUAUUGCACAAUGGGCGGAAGCCUGAUGCAGCAAACGCCGCGUGCGGGAUGAACGGGCCUUCCG